ACGGGGGAUUAGGGUUCGAUUCCGGAGAGGGAGCCUGAGAAACGGCUACCACAUCUAAGGAAGGCAGCAGGCGCGCAAAUUACCCAAUUCUAACAGCAUAAGAGAGGUAGUGACAAGAAAUAACAAUACAAGGCAGUUAAAAUGCUUUGUAAUUGGAAUGAUAGAAAUUUAAACACUUUUUAAAGUAUCAAUUGGAGGGCAAGUCUGGUGCCAGCAGCCGCGGUAAUUCCAGCUCCAAUAGCGUAUAUUAAAAUUGUUGCAGUUAAAAAGCUCGUAGUUGAAUUUCUGCUAAAAAUAACCGGUCUGCUUUUAACAAAAGUGGUAUCUUGGUGUGUUUUUAGCAAUAAUGUCCUUUGAAAUGUGUUUUACUUUGUUGUAAAAGAUAAUAUUCAGGAUUUUUACUUUGAGAAAAUUAGAGUGUUUCUAGCAGGCUAAUGUUUUGAAUACUGCAGCAUGGAAUAAUAAAAUAUGAUUUUGGUUCUACAUUGUUGGUUUUAAGAG
rnacentral:rRNA from 1 species